UAGAAUUAUUUAUUUAUAUAAUUUUAUAAUCAUUAUAUUUUAUCAUGGAAAAAAUUUAAACCUUGGUCACAAAAGUUGAUGGAAAACUUUUAAAAGUUUUAUUAAUUUAUACUCGUUUUGAAUAAUUCAAAAUACGAUAUAUACAAAAAAAUCUAAAUUUUUAUUAUAUAACUAAUCUAAUUGUGUAAUUUAUUUUAAAAACAAAUAAUUAAACAAAAAUGAUAGAAAAUAUACAGAUUAUUAGCAAAUUUUUAUUAUUUAAAAAUAAAUAAUUAACGUCUAUAUUUUUCUUCGGUGCACAAACGUCUCCACUUUUUAUAUUUACUAUGAUAAGAUCUGCUUUUCGCACAAGGUAAAUUUAUAUAAAAAAUAUUAUAUGAAAAACUAAAGUUUAUAUUCUUGAUCGAAUUAAUAUUUUUGACCCUUAAAACAUUUUUUAAUUUUUUUUUGUUAAUUACAUAAUUUGUUUAUUGAUGAAUUUAUCUCAUUUUUAAAAAUAUUUUAGGUCAAAAAAUCAGCUAUUGCAUAAGAACCUAAUGUUUAAACCUAAUCAUCUCAAGCCUACUAUUUGAUUACAACGAAACUAUGCCAGCACAAUUUUAUAUCAUGAUUUAACAAUUUAAAAGUUAAUUAUGGUUAUGAAAAGUUUAAGUUCACGUGUCAAUCAUACCUAUCUUUGAUAUUUUUUUUUUUAUUUUUGUAUCACAUUUUCAUUCUCGUUAUUGCUCGAUAUAAAUAUUGAUUUUUGGAUUUAUUCUCAUCUCGUUAUUUUGUUUUGGCCUGAAAUUUAGAAAAUGUUUAAGAUUUAAAAUUAUCAAAAAAAUACAUACUUAAGUUAAAAUAUGUGCCUUGUGCAGAAUGAAUCUAUAUAUAUAUAAAAUUGUCUGCCUCUCUCCUAGGCCAUCCAGCUGGAAACUCGCUCUCUGAGGGGUUGACACGUGUCCGCUUUUCCUGAAACGCGCCGCAUCAUUUAAACUUAUCAAUAAUGGGCCUUAUUUCUUCGUGCUGGGCUUAAGUUUGCUCACUAAUAUUGUAUUUUUUUUUUGGGGUUUAAAAAAAUAUUAUAUUCACGGGCUUUACCUUUUGGGCUUAAAAAAUAUUAUGUUCACUAACAUUACUUUUGGGUUUAAAAAAUCAACGCAAGCUCACAACAUUUUCACGUUUUCCGUUCUCCUUCUUUGUUGAUGUCGACUGUAAAUUCUGGUUCUUCGUAUUUUCAAGCUCCAAAAGGUCAAACUACAAUAGAAGUUCUUUAAUAUCUGUGUCGAUCUUCGUUCCUGUCGUUUCGUCUGCAAUAAAUAUCUUCUGCUUCAUAACUGGAUGAAGUGCUCCAUCGCCAUUAAGAGCUUUCUUAACUCCUUGGACCCACACAAACCACGAUUCCUCAUUCAAUGUUUUUUAUCCCCUAUGAGUCGGUGAAACUCGACCUAUAAAAAGGUCGGCUGAUGGGUUUCAAACGAGAGGUUUAGAUCAUCAGAGAAGAGACGGAAACGAUCUGUGACGACGAAGGAGGAGAGAAAAGAUUUGACGGUGGAUUUCAUGCGAGUUUGUUGCCUGAGGCAUAGAUUGCCGUAGCAGUUGGAGCAAAGAUUCAUGGUUGCGGAGAGGAAACCCCAGUUGUUAGAACAGAGAUGGUGGCCUUCGGCGUUUGACAUCGAUGAUCUUCCGCUAUAGAUCUUGAGAGAAAGUUCAAGGCUUUAAAUCGAAAUUGGAAAAAAGACAUCUGAUUUAAAGAAUCAACGAACCUGCAGAAUUUAAAAAAAACAUAAUAUGAUACGAACCGGACAGAGACGAGAAGGAAACGUUGAGAUAAAUAGAGAGCCAGCUUCAAUCUUCUCACAAAUCGACUCCCUUAUCAGAAACAAAAUCUCAUUCUUUUGGGAUCAAAAUGAGAAAUUCGCAUCUGAAACUAUGCAAUUCUGGUUUUCGGUUUUACAUCUGAUGACCACCAUUGUCGAUUAAUCACCUUCUAUCGGGCUUCUUCAAACUAAGGAAAGAGGCUCCUCUUCUUGAGCUUUGUAUUCGGGCUUUCUCUUCUUCGCUUUAUUUAUUGGGUAUUUUCAUAUCUCAAAUUUGGGCCAUAUUAACUCUUCGGGUUUCUUAUUUCAGUUAUGCCUUAAGAUUCUGAGCAUGAGAUUAUCUAGAGCUUAUAAUAUUUUGUAAUCUCUUGCUACUUUUAUAUCAAUGUACCAUUUUUUUUA